UUCGUCACAAAAAAAAAUCAAUCUCUCCUCCCUUCCUAUCUCCUCUUUCCCCAUCCAAAAAUCCCGAGUUCCUCCGGGGGCGGGAGGGAAUAGCAACCUUCCUCCACCAAAUGCCGCCACUCCGGAGCUGAUCCUCGGCGACCUCAUCAAGCUCUACUGCGAAUCAAAACUAAUAGACAAAGCCGUCAACGCCUUCUCCGAGAUACCAAAUUUCAGCCACUCUGGGGCUCAUCCUCGGCUACCUCAUCAAGCUCUACUGCGAAUUGAAACUAAUCGACAAAGCCGUCAACGUCUUCUCCAUGAUACCAAAUGUCAGGUGCACCCUUCUUCUCCUCUCUCAUUCUGAAUGCUACAAUUCUUUAUCAGUUAAGCAGCUUAUUUCAUUACGUGCUUAAGACGGUGGCGGAAUUUCAGCUAGCUUUCUCCUAUUUCUGCUUAAAUCCCUUUAUCAAUUUCAUCAAACGCGAUGGUUGUAAGGUUUGCUCCGCCGGUUCUUCCAUUUAAUUCAAACCAACCGAUUCUUAACCAGGGUACAAUAUAUCUCAAAACGUCGUUAGUUAUAGGCAAGUGACGAGAUCUAAUUUCUGUAGGAGUAAUCUUGCUUCAAUACUUUUGACCUUCUGACUUGAACUAAGCUGACAUGAGAUGGACUAUUUGGUGUUGCUAAGAGAAUAUAUGCACUAAGAAAGUCCUGCCCUUUGAUUGACUUAUUGGUUUCAUUCCACUUUACCAAUAUUAUCAAACUGUCUGGUAGAUGCUUGAAUAGAAUGUUAUAGUCUAUAUAUGUUUCAGUUUUUUGCUAUAGGAAGGUACAAGAAAAUAGCCUAUAGCUUAGAGUAGCCUUUAAUUUUAUAGCCGCAUAAUUAGUUGAACUGUGAUCUACCCAAGUUGUAUUAUCUAAUGUUGAGAUGAUAUACUUACAUUCGCAACACAUAAUUCAUUUUUGUGUUGAUCAGCUAUAUGCUCCUUCCUCAUAUAAUGUUAAUACAUUUUGUUUUGGUAUUUAAUUCCACGAUGCAGCUUUUUAUUUUCCAUCAUUUGUGAAGAAAGCAAUUGGUUCAAAACUCAACACAAAAAUGAUAAGUUGGGAAAGAUAUGAAUAGGAGCAAAACCAAAGUUGGUGACUGAUGGCACGAGCUCAACCGGUGAAGAUUGCCUAGGUUGGUCUAAAUUGAAUUUGUUUCAUAAAUGGGCUUAGUUUUAGCCGAUACAAAUUGGCACAAAGAGCAUGAAAAUGAAUAUGAUAAUAAGCAUGUGAACUUAAUAUACUUAUGGUCUUCUUCCCUUUGUUAUUUACAUGGAACAGGAUGGCAUUCAUUGCCAUCAUUUAGUUGGAUAAAUUCUGCCAAACUUUAGUAUAUAUAUCUGUUUGUUGUGCAAGGUGAUAAGUUGUAUAACUCCUACAAUCAAAUAACUUGACUUUAU
rnacentral:lncRNA from 1 species